GACAUCUGUAGGUAUAGGCAAGUUAGCGAGUUGCAAAAAAAAAAUCUCAACAAAAGUCUUUGGUUUGUUAUCGUUAUAUAUAGUAUAAAGGCGCUAUCCUCUGACUCAUUGCGCUUAUACUUGCCCAAUAACCGAAAUUUAUUCAAUUAAAGUUAAAAUAAAUACGUUUAAAUGUUGCUUACUGCACUGUUCCAUCGAUGCGACUACAAUUAUAAAGUUGGACUUUCGGAAACGUUCGUGACGUCACGCGCUGUACGCCUGUGGUGUGCCGAAUCAUCGGCAAAUGAAAAAACAGUCUUACGCAGAGAAUAGUUGGGCUUCUCUUUUUAUAGCCAUGCCUAUUAAUCACUAAUUCAUCAAUUUUGUCUUACGAACUCGCAAGAUUCUAACGAUCAACAAUGGAUUUGAACAAAAUUAUUGGCCUCUAUAGUACUUGAAUUUAUAGAUAUCUGAAGAAUUUUAUUAACAAUAUGUAUUUUGUACACAAUAUAUUUACACGAUUAAAUAUAAUAAUAAAAUACUUCGCUUAAAAAGUCUCUAAAUGCCGAUAAUGUUUAUACAAACAUUGCAUUGUCGGUCAAGUUUAAUUAAUAAGGAAUUAAAUUUUUCAAACAGAUAAUAGCGUCGUUUCGUGUAUCUACAGGUAAUCAGUCGUCAAGUCCUAUACAUAUUUGGAUUUGUAAUUGCACUCGAGAAAAAAAGAAUACUAGAAAACGCAUGUAUCUCAAUACCUCAAGAGAAAAACCUUUGAUCCUUGCUGCCGAAAAUUCUUUCAUAGUAUUCUAUUGAUACUAUUGAAAACUAAAAAAUUCACACAAGUGCAACAAAUUUGGUAUAUGAUAAUAUUUUAAAAAUGCCAUGAUAAAGAUUUGAUUUGAAUUCGAUUCUUUAGGAUCAGGAGUCCCUGGAUUGGAUUCCAUAUUGGACUUUUCAGUAAGACUGCCACAUUCGGAUGCCAUUGUGAUCCAAGUUCAUUGCUAGGAUUGGCAUGUGAGGGUGGGCUGCAAAUCUCCAAGAUUUGUCCUUUGAAUAUAUCUUGUGAACUAAAUCUUGAUUGUCUUUAUCCCAAACAUACAUACUAUUUGCUUGAGUGUAACCCGCAAAGUUGCAGUGCCUAGAAGAGCUUGCCACAAUGAACUCACUCCUCGUUCCAACAAAGUGUACAUUGUAAAUUGUGAAAGAAUAAUGUUCUAUUGUUUCUCUCAUGGUUAUGUAAGUCUUAAUUGGGUCUGGUUUUAGUGUACUAAAAAGAUAAAUUGGAUCUUCAGAAUAGGCUGCAAGAAUUUCUGAGCCAUCAUAGCUGUACUUUACAGUGAAAAUUCGUCGAGUUUCAGUUCCCAAUAAGUUAUCUAGUCUUCCAACUGGAGUGUAUAAUUUUUGUACAGGAUUAGAUAAAUUACGGCAGUCAUAAAUUCGUAUAUCCUUAAAACCUCCAAUACAAAAUUCUGAACAUCUGGUUGGAUUAAUAUCAAUGCUGCAGAUCUCAUAGAAAGAAGAAUUGUCGUGUUUUGCAAGUAAUAAGUUUGUAGGCUUUUCUUCUCUAACAUCAAUAUUUACAAUCUUUCCCUUUGCACUUCCAGCAAGUAUUGUAUGGGGUAAAUUUCCAUUAACGCAAAACUUGAAACCUCCGCAAAAGUAUUGCUCAUCCUCGAAGAAAGAAUUCUCCAACAAAUGCGAAGUAUUGGUAGUGAGA